rnacentral:piRNA from 1 species
UAAAUCAUAGAUGUCCCUGACAGUAC